CCAAAGAAGAGUCAGGCGGUGAAAGACAACACCUCAACAACUCUGACGCGACAGCAGCCACGACGUACAGGUGUGCCCACGGUUAAGCCGAUCCAGGACGGCGCGCAGGAGCCGAAUUCAGAGGCACGCGUAAUCAUCAUCCAAGUACUGAGUAACAAGACGGCUUGAGGCCACGCCAGUACGGAAGCCUCGAGUAGGUCAGCGCACCACGCAUCUAUCGACCCCUACUCUAUCACCUACGCCAUGUAACCUAGGUCACCCCUUGGAACUAUAAAAGGGUAGGCACAGGAAAGGAUAGGGGACACAAGACAUACCUAGAAGAACAACCACACUUCAUCUCCCACCAUCCACACAAUACCGACUUGUAUUCACCCCUGUACAAGCACUUAGGUGCAAGAUAAUAGAAACAUCUCCUCCCCACCCGACGUAGGGCCUUCUCUUGCCCGAACCAGGAUAAACCUUUGUGCCUUUCUUGCAUCACCAUCUGGGAAAGGGAACACGCACACAAGUUUCACUCGUUGGAGUGACCCCCCGUGGGGAAAACACCGAUAGAUAUAAAUAUUAAAACUGUGGGCAAUUGCUUUGUUCAAGUCAUUGUUUAUUUCUUGUGGUUUUGGUUGAGAGAAUUAUCAUGCUCCAAAGAUCAAGAUCGUUUUGUUUUAAAAAUAUAAAAGAUUCACUCUUCCGAAGUAUUAUUGCAUUAGAGGCAUGAGACUAUGCAAAAAUUUGAUUAAAAAAAAGAGUGAGACGAGAGGUAAAAAUGGACAAGUGUCCAAAGUAGAAUUAGGGGUACAAAGAUACCCACCUGAGUGGAAAAAAUGGACACAUGUCUGAUAGUAGAAUUAGGGGUACUUGGUGCCCACUUGAAAAAAAGAAAAAAAAGAGAGAGAGACUGAAAAAAAAGAGAGAAAAAAAAAUGAUAGCCCAUGGUCCCUCUAAUAAGCAAUGUGCUAGUAAGAGAUGACAAACUUUUCAAAAAGGUCAAAGGUAUUGAUGUAGGAGUAUGACAUUCCUCUCCCUUGCUCCGAGCAUUGACAUAGCAAAAUGCAAAGUAAGUAUGCUAAAACUUUUAAAGCUCUACUUAUAUAUCUUUCGAGAAGAAGGCAAAUGCCUCAGUUUUAUUUUGGAAACUUACAAAAAACUCCAGAACAAAGGUAAGACAGAAGAACUUGAGACAUAGUGCUUGACUUGAUCGUUCUGUUUUUCAAUCACUUAAGAGCUUAGUGAUAACUUAAUAACCCUGUAGUAAGAGGCAUAAAAGUAACCCCAGUUUUUUUCUGAUUUUAGCUUUGCUCAGGGACGAGCAAAGGUUAUGCUUGGGGGAGCUUGUUGACGGUCCUUAAUGCUCACAUUUAACCGUCAACUAAUCAUGGAAAAGGACUUAUAUACAACUGUUGGGUAUUUUAAACGCAAAGAGAAAAAUCCGCAAGCGCACGGAUACCGAUGUAGCCUUCACCCGGGAGUAUUCCAGAGUAUCGAUUUUCCACAGAGAACGUGAGUGUACUAAUUAAGAUCCAAGAUCGCCCAAGGAUAACUAUAUAAUUAUUUUUGGUGGGAAGAGAGGAAGUUUCCUGAGAGUUCUCUAGUUGAUCUAAGAAUCAAGAAUUACUUCAAGAUUAUUUAUAUCGGGACAUCAGAGCACUAACCACAGAAAGAGAUGAGAAGGGGGCUAGGAAGGUCUGACUACGGUCCUACAAACACCGAUCCGAACGUGGUGGAAUACGUCGACCGUUAGGGAUGUCACUACCCUAAGGCUACCACAACAAUCCGCAGGAUUGGGUGCAAUUCCAGGUAAUUGCAAGACUAAACACCACGUCUAAUCUAUUAAUUACUACUCUAAUGUUUCAAAGAUUAGAGCACUUGAUGCAAGCGGGAAUCCAAUAAAUAACUUGAAUGUAAAUAAAAGUAAUUAGAGAACUCAGGAGUUAUGAGUUGAAGAACCUAGAGAACGAUGAAGAA
rnacentral:lncRNA from 1 species